GGUUAAGUUAGAAAGGGCGCACGGUGGAUGCCUUGACACUAGGAGUCGAUGAAGGACGGGACUAACGCCGAUAUGCUUCGGGGAGCUGUAAGUAAGCUUUGAUCCGAAGAUUUCCGAAUGGGGAAACCCACCAUACGUAAUGGUAUGGUAUCCUUAUCUGAAUACAUAGGGUAAGGAAGACAGACCCAGGGAACUGAAACAUCUAAGUACCUGGAGGAAGAGAAAGCAAAUGCGAUUUCCUGAGUAGCGGCGAGCGAAACGGAACAUAGCCCAAACCAAGAGGCUUGCCUCUUGGGGUUGUAGGACAUUCUAUACGGAGUUACAAAGGAACGAGGUAGACGAAGCGACCUGGAAAGGUCCGUCGUAGAGGGUAACAACCCCGUAGUCGAAACUUCGUUCUCUCUUGAAUGUAUCCUGAGUACGGCGGAACACGUGAAAUUCCGUCGGAAUCUGGGAGGACCAUCUCCCAAGGCUAAAUACUCCCUAGUGAUCGAUAGUGAACCAGUACCGUGAGGGAAAGGUGAAAAGCACCCCGGAAGGGGAGUGAAAGAGAUCCUGAAACCGUGUGCCUACAAAUAGUCAGAGCCCGUUAAUGGGUGAUGGCGUGCCUUUUGUAGAAUGAACCGGCGAGUUACGAUCCCGUGCGAGGUUAAGCUGAAGAGGCGGAGCCGCAGCGAAAGCGAGUCUGAAUAGGGCGUUUAGUACGUGGUCGUAGACCCGAAACCAGGUGAUCUACCCAUGUCCAGGGUGAAGUUCAGGUAACACUGAAUGGAGGCCCGAACCCACGCACGUUGAAAAGUGCGGGGAUGAGGUGUGGGUAGCGGAGAAAUUCCAAUCGAACCUGGAGAUAGCUGGUUCUCCCCGAAAUAGCUUUAGGGCUAGCCUUAAGUGUAAGAGUCUUGGAGGUAGAGCACUGAUUGGACUAGGGGUCCUCAUCGGAUUACCGAAUUCAGUCAAACUCCGAAUGCCAAUGACUUAUCCUUAGGAGUCAGACUGCGAGUGAUAAGAUCCGUAGUCAAAAGGGAAACAGCCCAGACCGCCAGCUAAGGUCCCAAAGUGUGUAUUAAGUGGAAAAGGAUGUGGAGUUGCUUAGACAACUAGGAUGUUGGCUUAGAAGCAGCCACCAUUUAAAGAGUGCGUAAUAGCUCACUAGUCGAGUGACUCUGCGCCGAAAAUGUACCGGGGCUAAAUACACCACCGAAGCUGCGGAUUGAUACCAAUGGUAUCAGUGGUAGGGGAGCGUUCUAAGGACAGUGAAGUCAGACCGGAAGGACUGGUGGAGUGCUUAGAAGUGAGAAUGCCGGUAUGAGUAGCGAAAGACGGGUGAGAAUCCCGUCCACCGAAUGCCUAAGGUUUCCUGAGGAAGGCUCGUCCGCUCAGGGUUAGUCAGGACCUAAGCCGAGGCCGACAGGCGUAGGCGAUGGACAACAGGUUGAUAUUCCUGUACCACCUCUUUAUCGUUUGAGCAAUGGAGGGACGCAGAAGGAUAGAAGAAGCGUGCGAUUGGUUGUGCACGUCCAAGCAGUUAGGCUGAUAAGUAGGCAAAUCCGCUUAUCGUGAAGGCUGAGCUGUGAUGGGGAAGCUCCUUAUGGAGCGAAGUCUUUGAUUCCCCGCUGCCAAGAAAAGCUUCUAGCGAGAUAAAAGGUGCCUGUACCGCAAACCGACACAGGUAGGCGAGGAGAGAAUCCUAAGGUGUGCGAGAGAACUCUGGUUAAGGAACUCGGCAAAAUGACCCCGUAACUUCGGGAGAAGGGGUGCUUUCUUAACGGAAAGCCGCAGUGAAUAGGCCCAAGCGACUGUUUAGCAAAAACACAGCUCUCUGCGAAGCCGUAAGGCGAAGUAUAGGGGGUGACACCUGCCCGGUGCUGGAAGGUUAAGGAGAGGGGUUAGCGUAAGCGAAGCUCUGAACUGAAGCCCCAGUAAACGGCGGCCGUAACUAUAACGGUCCUAAGGUAGCGAAAUUCCUUGUCGGGUAAGUUCCGACCCGCACGAAAGGUGUAACGAUUUGGGCACUGUCUCAACCAGAGACUCGGUGAAAUUAUAGUACCUGUGAAGAUGCAGGUUACCCGCGACAGGACGGAAAGACCCCGUGGAGCUUUACUGUAGCCUGAUAUUGAAUUUUGGUACAGUUUGUACAGGAUAGGCGGGAGCCUUUGAAACCGGAGCGCUAGCUUCGGUGGAGGCGCUGGUGGGAUACCGCCCUGACUGUAUUGAAAUUCUAACCUACGGGUCUUAUCGACCCGGGAGACAGUGUCAGGUGGGCAGUUUGACUGGGGCGGUCGCCUCCUAAAGUGUAACGGAGGCGCCCAAAGGUUCCCUCAGAAUGGUUGGAAAUCAUUCGUAGAGUGCAAAGGCAUAAGGGAGCUUGACUGCGAGACCUACAAGUCGAGCAGGGACGAAAGUCGGGCUUAGUGAUCCGGUGGUUCCGCAUGGAAGGGCCAUCGCUCAACGGAUAAAAGCUACCCCGGGGAUAACAGGCUUAUCUCCCCCAAGAGUCCACAUCGACGGGGAGGUUUGGCACCUCGAUGUCGGCUCAUCGCAUCCUGGGGCUGUAGUCGGUCCCAAGGGUUGGGCUGUUCGCCCAUUAAAGCGGUACGCGAGCUGGGUUCAGAACGUCGUGAGACAGUUCGGUCCCUAUCCGUCGUGGGCGUAGGAAAUUUGAGAGGAGCUGUCCUUAGUACGAGAGGACCGGGAUGGACGCACCGCUGGUGUACCAGUUGUUCUGCCAAGGGCAUAGCUGGGUAGCUAUGUGCGGAAGGGAUAAGUGCUGAAAGCAUCUAAGCAUGAAGCCCCCUCAAGAUGAGAUUUCCCAUAGCGUAAGCUAGUAAGAUCCCUGAAAGAUGAUCAGGUUGAUAGGUUCGAGGUGGAAGCAUGGUGACAUGUGGAGCUGACGAAUACUAAUAGAUCGAGGACUUAACCAU
rnacentral:rRNA from 1 species